GCAGCGGCUGUGCGGCUUUUAUGUUUUCCUGUUAGAGUUCUUUUUAACUUAAUUAAGGCUUUAAUAGGAGUUUUAUUUCCCUUAGAGGCUUAUUGUGAAGUUUAAAGUGGCCUUAGAAAUAAGUACCCCAAAUACCUGUUCCAUCAAACAUCUUUUUGAACUUCCUAUUUUACUCAGAGGAAUAUUGCUAAUCAGAUAUGUGAGCUCUUUUGGAUGAAUCUGAACUUCACUCAAGCUGCACUCUCUGAGCACCUUGGAAAUUAAAGAAUUGCCAGCUUUUCUGCUUUGGGACAAAAAACAUUUGUGCUAAACAGCCGCUGAGUUUGAAGAUGAAGACGACCAGGCUAGUGAAGGGAGCUUCUUUGAAGAGCACAUACCCUCUCUACAGGAGGAUGUCAGCACAUGGUUGUGAGAAAUAAGUGGAGAAAAUUCCAACAAAUCCCAAUAAACGCCCUGAUUUGGAGACUUC
rnacentral:lncRNA from 1 species